GCUUCCUCAGGUCUCUCUCUCUCUCUCUCUCUCUCUCUCUCUCAGGGCUUCCUCAGGUCUCUCUCUCUCUCUCUCUCUCUCUCUCUCAGGGCUUCCUCAGGUCUCUCUCUCUCUCAGGGCUUCCUCAGGUCUCUCUCUCUCUCAGGGCUUCCUCAGGGCUUCCUCAGGGCUUCCUCAGGUCUCUCUCUCUCAGGGCUUCCUCAGGUCUCUCUCUCUCUCUCUCUCUCAGGGCUUCCUCAGGUCUCUCUCUCUCUCUCUCUCUCAGGGCUUCCUCAGGUCUCUCUCUCUCUCUCUCUCAGGGCUUCCUCAGGUCUCUCUCUCUCUCUCUCUCUCUCUCUCAGGGCUUCCUCAGGUCUCUCU
ensembl:lncRNA